rnacentral:rRNA from 1 species
UACGUAGGGGGCUAGCGUUGUCCGGAAUCAUUGGGCGUAAAGCGCGUGUAGGCGGCCCGGUAAGUCCGCUGUGAAAGUCCAGGGCUCAACCCUGGGAUGCCGGUGGAUACUGUCGGGCUCGAGUCCGGAAGAGGCGAGUGGAAUUCCUGGUGUAGCGGUGAAAUGCGCAGAUAUCAGGAGGAACACCAGUGGCGAAGGCGGCACUCUGGGCCGGUACUGACGCUGAGGAGCGAAAGCGUGGGGAGCGAACAGG